rnacentral:rRNA from 1 species
GUGUGUGAAGAAGGCCUUCGGGUUGUAAAGCACUUUCAGUCGUGAGGAAGGUGGUGUAGUUAAUAGCUGCAUUAUUUGACGUUAGCGACAGAAGAAGCACCGGCUAACUCCGUGCCAGCAGCCGCGGUAAUACGGAGGGUGCGAGCGUUAAUCGGAAUUACUGGGCGUAAAGCGCAUGCAGGUGGUUUGUUAAGUCAGAUGUGAAAGCCCGGGGCUCAACCUCGGAAUAGCAUUUGAAACUGGCAGACUAGAGUACUGUAGAGGGGGGUAGAAUUUCAGGUGUAGCGGUGAAAUGCGUAGAGAUCUGAAGGAAUACCGGUGGCGAAGGCGGCCCCCUGGACAGAUACUGACACUCAGAUGCGAAAGCGUGGGGAGCAAACAGGAUUAGAUACCCUGGUAGUCCACGCCGUAAACGAUGUCUACUUGGAGGUUGUGGCCUUGAGCCGUGGCUUUCGGAGCUAACGCGUUAAGUAGACCGCCUGGGGAGUACGGUCGCAAGAUUAAAACUCAAAUGAAUUGACGGGGGCCCGCACAAGCGGUGGAGCAUGUGGUUUAAUUCGAUGCAACGCGAAGAACCUUACCUACUCUUGACAUCCAGAGAACUUUCCAGAGAUGGAUUGGUGCCUUCGGGAACUCUGAGACAGGUGCUGCAUGGCUGUCGUCAGCUCGUGUUGUGAAAUGUUGGGUUAAGUCCCGCAACGAGCGCAACCCUUAUCCUUGUUUGCCAGCGAGUAAUGUCGGGAACUCCAGGGAGACUGCCGGUGAUAAACCGGAGGAAGGUGGGGACGACGUCAAGUCAUCAUGGCCCUUACGAGUAGGGCUACACACGUGCUACAAUGGCGCAUACAGAGGGCGGCCAACUUGCGAAAGUGAGCGAAUCCCAAAAAGUGCGUCGUAGUCCGGAUUGGAGUCUGCAACUCGACUCCAUGAAGUCGGAAUCGCUAGUAAUCGUGGAUCAGAAUGCCACGGUGAAUACGUUCCCGGGCCUUGUACAACCGCCCGUCACACCAUGGGAGUGGGCUGCAAAA